GACGGAAGGUGCAAGCGUUGCUCGGAAUCACUGGGCGUAAAGGGCGCGUAGGCGGCCAGCGCAAGUCAGUUGUGAAAUCUCCGGGCUUAACUCGGAACGGUCAACUGAUACUGCGCGGCUAGAGUGCGGAAGGGGCAACUGGAAUUCUCGGUGUAGCGGUGAAAUGCGUAGAUAUCGAGAGGAACACCUGCGGCGAAGGCGGGUUGCUGGGCCGACACUGACGCUGAUGCGCGAAAGCCAGGGGAGCGAACGGG
rnacentral:rRNA from 1 species